rnacentral:lncRNA from 1 species
CAAGAAAAUGUGUCUUUUACAAUUUUUGAAUUUAUUUUCUAGUUCGCUACCAUCGCUCGUUGAGACAACAUCCAGUGAUCUAGUGCGCCUUUGGUAUUUUAUUUCAAAGUUUUAAGUGUUAUAGUUGCGAUAAGCCAAAAUGAAACGAACUUUAUUUAGAAUAACGAGUGCAGAUACAGCUUCUGUACGGGCAAGGGAAAUCACAAGUAGAGAUUUCCAAAACUGUCAAAUGUUCGCGCCGAUCCGUGCAUUAUGCUAUUCAGCGAUUCUCUGAUACCGGAUCACAUCAAAAUACACCGAGAACCGGGCGCAAACGCAUCACCAUAGGCCGUCAGGAUCGUCAGUUACUGAGAGAGUCAUUAAGAAAUAGGAAAAAAACAUCUUCAGAGCUCGCUGCUGAGUUUUCAGAACAAAUGAAGAAAACAAUUUCUGCUCGAACUACUCGUAGAAGGCUUCAGAAAGCUGGUCUGAAAGGCUGUAAAGCUAGGAAGAAGCCAUGGCUCUCCGAGAGCAACAAAAAAGCUCGGUACAAAUGGGCCUUACAACACUGAACUUUCACCGCUGAAGAUUGGUCAAAUGUUGUGUGGUCAGACGAAUGAAACUUUGAGAUUUUUGGUACACCUGGUGUGACCUUUGUGCGUCGCCGGGUGGGCGAAGAAUUUAAGCCAGAGUAUGUGGUCCCAACCGUAAAACACGGCGGCGGCAGUAUAAUGGCCUGGGGUUGUAUGACAGAUUCUGGAGUUGGCGAAUUGUUCGUGUGUGAGGGCCGCAUGGACUCUUCUAAGUACAUAAAUGUGCUAGAAACUGCGUUCAUUCACGAAACUUUUCGGUGACACGAACAUGGAUAGUGAUAAAUGCCAGCAGGAUAACGCGCCUUGCCACAAAUCUGCCCGCACUAUGACUUGGUUUCAGGAAAAUAGCAUAGAGCUUCUUGACUGGCCUGCCCAGUCGCCAGAUCUGAACCCCAUAGAACAUUUAUGGGGUUUAUUAAAGCGUCGAGUUAAGCGCCACACAAUUAACAACAGAGAAGAAUUGAAACGCUACCUGCGCCUAGAAUGGAACGCGAUUACUGCUGAAGACUG